CCUACGGGAGGCAGCAGUGAGGAAUAUUGGACAAUGGGCGAGAGCCUGAACCAGCCAAGUCGCGUGAGGGAGGACUGCCCUAUGGGUUGUAAACCUCUUUUGUCGGGGAGCAAAAGACGGAGGUGUACGGCUGUGAGAGUACCCGAAGAAAAAGCAUCGGCUAACUCCGUGCCAGCAGCCGCGGUAAUACGGAGGAUGCGAGCGUUAUCCGGAUUGAUUGGGUUUAAAGGGUGCGCAGGCGGAUUGUUAAGUCAGCGGUCAAAUCGUGGGGCUCAACCCCAUCCAGCCGUUGAAACUGGGGAUCUGGAGUUUGCGAGAGGUAUGCGGAAUGCGUGGUGUAGCGGUGAAAUGCAUAGAUAUCACGCAGAACCCCGAUUGCGAAGGCAGCAUACCGGUGCACAACUGACGCUCAGGCACGAAAGCGUGGGUAUCGAACAGGAUUAGAUACCCCAGUAGUC
rnacentral:rRNA from 1 species